rnacentral:rRNA from 1 species
CCAGUGACACUGUUCAACGGCCGCGGUAUCCUAACCGUGCGAAGGUAGCGUAAUCACUUGUUCUUUAAAUGAGGACUAGUAUGAAUGGCACCACGAGGGUUAUACUGUCUCCUUUCUUUAAUCAGUGAAACUAAUCUCCCCGUGAAGAAGCGGGGAUAAUUUUAUAAGACGAGAAGACCCUAUGGAGCUUUAAACAAGUAAUAAUUGCCUUUAUUAAUUUUUAAUCUACGGAAAUUUACCCUCUUAUCCAGGCACUCUAAUUACACGUUUUAGGUUGGGGUGACCGCGGAGCAUAAAAUAACCUCCAUAGUGAACGGGUAUUAUUCCCUAAACCCAGGGCUACAACCCUAAGCAUCAAUAAAUUGACACCCAUUGACCCAAUAUCUUGAUCAAUGAACCAAGUUACCCUAGGGAUAACAGCGCAAUCCACUUCAAGAGCCCCUAUCGACAAGUGGGUUUACGACCUCGAUGUUGGAUCAGGGUAUCCCAGUGGUGCAGCCGCUACUAAAGGUUCGUUUGUUCAACGAUUAAAACCCUACGUGAUCU